GCAUGAACAGCUUCUUAGAGGGACUAUCUGUGCCAGCAGGUGGAAGUUUGGGGCAAUAACAGGUCAGUGAUGCCCUUAGAUGCUCUGGGCUGCACGCGCGCUACAAUGGUGCAUUCAGCGAGUUUAACCUUGCUUGAAAAAGCUGGGUAAUCUUUAAAAUGCAUCUUAGUUGGGAUAGAUGAUUGCAAUUUUUCAUCUUGAACAAGGAAUAUCUAGUAAACGCAAGUCAUYAACUUGCAUUGAUUACGUCCCUGCCCUMUGUACACACCGCCCGUCGCUCCUACCGAUUGAAUAAUCCGGUGAAUUGAGUGGA
rnacentral:rRNA from 1 species